rnacentral:rRNA from 1 species
CUACGGGGGGCUGCAGUGGGGAAUAUUGCACAAUGGGGGAAACCCUGAUGCAGCCAUGCCGCGUGUAUGAAGAAGGCCUUCGGGUUGUAAAGUACUUUCAGCAGUGAGGAAGGGUGAUAAAUUAAUACUUUAUCAUUUUGACGUUAGCUGCAGAAGAAGCACCGGCUAACUCCGUGCCAGCAGCCGCGGUAAUACGGAGGGUGCGAGCGUUAAUCGGAAUUACUGGGCGUAAAGCGCAUGCAGGUGGUCUGUUAAGUCAGAUGUGAAAGCCCGGGGCUUAACCUCGGAAUCGCAUUUGAAACUGGCAGGCUAGAGUACUGUAGAGGGGGGUAGAAUUUCAGGUGUAGCGGUGAAAUGCGUAGAGAUCUGAAGGAAUACCGGUGGCGAAGGCGGCCCCCUGGACAGAUACUGACACUCAGAUGCGAAAGCGUGGGGAGCAAACAGGAUUAGAUACCCCGGUAGUC